AUUGAACGCUGGCGGCAGGCCUAACACAUGCAAGUCGAGCGGAUGAGGGGAGCUUGCUCCUGGAUUCAGAGGCGGAAGGGUGUGUAAUGCCUAGGAAUCUGCUUGGUAGUGGGGGAUAAUGUCCGGAAAAGGGUGCUAAUACUGCCUACGUCCUGCGGGAGAAAGUGGGGGAUCUUUGGAACUUAUGCUAUCAGAUGAGCCUAGGUGGGACUAGUUAGUUGGUGGGGUAAAGACUUACCAAGGAGGCGAUCGGUAACUGGCCUGACAGAAUGGUCAGUCACACUGGAACGGGGACACGGUCCAGACGCCUACGGGAGGGAGCAGUGGGGAAUAGUAGACAAUGGGCGAAAGCCUUAUCCAGCCAGGCCGCGUGUGUGGAGGAGGUCUUCGGAGUGGAAAGCACUUUAAGUUGUGAUGAAGGGCAGUAAGUUAAUACCUUGCUGGUUUGACGUUAACAACAAAAGAAGCACCGGCUAACUUCGUG
rnacentral:rRNA from 1 species